GACGAACGCUGGCGGCGUGCUUAACACAUGCAAGUCGAACGGUGAACCGGAGCUUGCUCCGGGGAUCAGUGGCGAACGGGUGAGUAACACGUGGGCAACCUGCCCCUGGCUCUGGGAUAACCCCGGGAAACCGGAGCUAAUACCGGAUAUGAAAUCGGAGGGCAUCCUCUGAUUUGGAAAGUUUUUCGGCCAGGGAUGGGCCGGCGGCCUAUCAGCUUGUUGGUGGGGUAACGGCCUACCAAGGCGACGACGGGUAGCCGGCCUGAGAGGGCGACCGGCCACACGGGGAGGGAGACACGGCCCAGACUCCUAGGGGAGGCAGCAGGGGGGAAUAUUGCACAAUGGGCGAAAGCCUGAUGCAGCGACGCCGCGUGAGGGAUGACGGCCUUCGGGUUGUAAACCCCUUUCGACCCGGACGAAAAAUCCCGCAAGGGAUCUGACGGUACGGGUAUAAGAAGCCCCGGCUAACUACGUGCCAGCCGCCGCGGUAACAC
rnacentral:rRNA from 1 species